UAGGGAAUCUUCCGCAAUGGACGAAAGUCUGACGGAGCAACGCCGCGUGAGUGAUGAAGGUUUUCGGAUCGUAAAACUCUGUUGUUAGGGAAGAACAAGUAUCGUUCGAAUAGGGCGGUACCUUGACGGUACCUAACCAGAAAGCCACGGCUAACUACGUGCCAGCAGCCGCGGUAAUACGUAGGUGGCAAGCGUUGUCCGGAAUUAUUGGGCGUAAAGCGCGCGCAGGCGGUUCCUUAAGUCUGAUGUGAAAGCCCACGGCUCAACCGUGGAGGGUCAUUGGAAACUGGGAGACUUGAGUGCAGAAGAGAAGAGCGGAAUUCCACGUGUAGCGGUGAAAUGCGUAGAGAUGUGGAGGAACACCAGUGGCGAAGGCGGCUCUUUGGUCUGUAACUGACGCUGAGGCGCGAAAGCGUGGGGAGCGAA
rnacentral:rRNA from 1 species